UCUCGGUUGCAAAUGAGAACUAUUUCGUUAUCUUAGGUCCUUGAGGAGCAAAUCGUGCUGCUUUGGUUUACCUCAUUCAUUUAGAAACAAUUGAAAACCAAAGCAGUUUAUGAAAGACACUAUCUUCUUUUGUGCUUAGUCUUCACAGGUUUACCUGAAAUGCGGCUGGCUUUCUAAUGGUACUGAUAUCAAAGUAUUUUUCAUUCUUUAUCUUCCAUUUUGUAAGUCAUCGUGCGAAGGAGAAUUUUAGCGAUAUUCCGAAUAUGAACGUAUAGAAAAGUUAAGCCACCCUAAGGUUCUUCGCCUUUUGGACAUACGCCGUAUUUAUCGACCGCCAAUAACUUCAAAAUUGCCAGGAAACAACGAUCCAUCAGAGCCAACCGAUUCCACCGUAUUAGUUUAUGCUGACGAUCUCGCUGAUCAAGUUCAAAAAUUGUCCCCGUAACAUUACAGCCUGUAGAGUUACCUGAGAAUGGUCCGUCCUUUGUGCGUCGGCCAACAACUUAGUCGGGUCACGUAAGUCGUUGCAGGCAUUCUGAUUUCCCUGCACGUCAUCACCGAAUUCGAGAAGACGCUUAUCAAGCUAUGUGGAAUGAUUUUCACUGAGAGGUGCACCACAGCUAAACAAUUCUAUCAUCUUUUCACGGAUGUAAGUCAAUGCGGCCCUCAUUAGCGCAUCGCGUGAAUUCCUCUCACUUCCAUGCCUCUGAACAAAUUCUGCUAAGUAAAAAUGGCUAUCACAACUCUUAGGCUGAGUUCGUCAAUCACAGUGAAGAUAUGCUCAAUAAUAUUGGGAAACCGUACACUUCUGGUGACGCUUCAAAAUCUUAUGCGUCUUUAAAAACGCCAUCGCCAUCAUUAACAGAUAUUGCGCAAAGUUGCCUAGUGAUUGUUUCACACGCCGUAUUCCUAUUUGGAAAUACGAACAGUAAGCGAGAAUACGUUGACCCAUCUGUAUGGGACAAAUGGUCCGAACUAUUUCAGAGAAGUGAUUGCAGCAGAGAAAAUACGGUCGAACGUAGCGUCCAUAACUUUUAUCCCACCGAAAAGGAAAAUCUUCAACUGGGGGAGAGGAUUACAAAGCCAAUUCGGAAGACGAAAUUGUUCCGACAAUUUGCCACGUCCGGCCACUACGAGAAAACACUAAAUCGAAGACAGUAACGUACCAAAUGCGCCUUCAAAGCCGCAGAAAUGAGAGAGUAAGGAAGCGAAAAGAGCACGGGAGAUUCUCUAUUGGAUGUCGGAGUAUAGAACCCCUAUACGAUUGAUGGCAACAAUCAGAAUGGAACGGGAGAAACGGUCGAUGAAGGGUAUAACUAUAGCGAUCUUCAAGCAAUAGCUCUGCUGGCCAAUGAUAAUGGAGCAGAUUUUGACUGGUCUGAACCGGUAGUGGAUCUUUCUGGACUAAAAGACUUUGUCUGUCGAGGAGACGCCGCAGAAGAAAUCGAAGAACUCAUUGACCAAAAAGAAAAACAUUUAAAAGUCGAGAGGAGGAAAAUUAGAAGGUCAGAUAGACGCCGAAGAGCCUUAUGAAUAGUUCACAGAUUUGCUUAGCAUGAAAAACCGAUGGAACGUUGAUCUAACAAACAGUGAUUUGGAAGGCAGACGAACAAAGAGAUCCCUAUUGUAUCGCCUUUCCAUCGUCGGAUUAUGGACCAUCCAGACAAUCUGGCAGAAGUUUCGGAAAUGUGAAAAGCUCCCACGAAAUCUCUGAUACAACAACAGGCAAAUCAAAUCGACAACUGGCAUCUAAGAGCCCAAAUAUUCUAGAGCUUAUUCGCCUGUUGCUGGCACAGUGUACCACUGAAAUUCAUGACGAAUGUGAUCCAACUUCUGAUCCCUCCACUGAACUCCCCCGCAUAGUCCGUCCACUGCAAAAAGAAGAACCUGUAUUAGGAACGGGAAAAAUGUCAGUUCCUGGUUUAGAUUUCUCCUUCAGUUUUGACGAACACGAGGUUUAGAAAGCAAUCCGGGGCCAUCUCCAAGCGUGAUCCUACAGGCAUUUACAAUGUCCAGUGCCAAUGAUGGCAUUAAUUUAGUACGAAUGGAAAUGAUUGGCUAUUCGUUUUUAAAGUACUCCAUCACAAAUUAUUUGUACUGCAAAUAUCGCAAUAUUCACGAGGAGAAAAUCAGCCAUCUGCUCUCGCGUCAGGUUUCUAAUCUCCAUCUUUAUCAGUUGGGCAAGAAAACAGGCAUGUACUCUUUUGGGCGAGUUACAAAAAGGACUCCAGGGUUUCCGACUUUUGGUUUCAGGUUUCCCGACACUUGGACAUCUUUCCACCGACGUUUGGAGUCCAAACUUUGGACCAAACUAUCAGUAUAUACAGUACCCGCCCUUAGUAUCCGAACACCAAGGGUUUUUGGGGCUUUUUUACACGGUGUCUUAUGGCGGUAGGGUCCCUAGCGCAAAGGCAAAAAAGGGUCAGUAAUAAUGACGAUAAAAAAAUAAAAUUUUGUCCUGAUGUUAAUUAAAUAAUGGGCUAUA